rnacentral:rRNA from 1 species
UACGGGGGGGGCAAGCGUUGUUCGGAAUUACUGGGCGUAAAGGGCUCGUAGGCGGCCAACUAAGUCAGACGUGAAAUCCCUCGGCUUAACCGGGGAACUGCGUCUGAUACUGGAUGGCUUGAAUCCGGGAGGAGGGAUGCGGAAUUCCAGGUGUAGCGGUGAAUGCGUAGAUAUCUGGAGGAACACCGGUGGCGAAGGCGG